CAGUUUCUGACACGACUCUUAAAGGACUGCUUCAUGAUCUUUGAGGAUGGUAUGCCAUGCAAGUUGAGUAAACUGAGUGGAAACAGCAGUGACCUCACAGCUUGCUGAUCAUGAAUCAAGAAUUAACCCUGAAGAAAAUGUAUGGGGAGAAUGUGGCCUCAAACUGAUUCAGAGAAGAGUUAAAAAGAGGAAAUGGACAGCAAACACUCUUC
rnacentral:lncRNA from 1 species